CCCAUCCCAGGGGGGCUCAGGGUGGUGGCACAGUCCCAUCCCAGGGGGGCUCAGCCCUCCUGCAGUGCCAGCUGUGGCUCUGCUGGAGCAGGGAUCCUGCACAAGGGGGGAGUUUUCCUCUGCAGCUCCAGGGCUGCUGGAGAUGGGCCUGCUCUCCCUCUGGGAAUGCAGGGCAGCAGAAAGCUGCUCCUCUGGGAAUGCAGUGGGCAAAGGCUGCUGUGCUGUUCCCAGGGCAGAUUGGAUCCAGGGAGGAAUGCUUGGCUCCUCCCCUGGGAUGAUGGAAUUUGAUCAGCCAUGCAGUGUUGGAACUCAGGCCAUCCCUCUGGGAGUCCAGAGUUCCUGGGACCCUUGCCAGGGGGCUCGGAGACCCUGGCACACAGCCCAGAACACCAGCGGGUUUGAUUAUGAACCACGGAACAAAUUGUCACCUUUCUAGAAAGAGAUAAAAGCCACAAUAGUGUAAAUAGUGUAAGAAUAAAAUAAUUACAGAGUGUAAAUGUAGGUUUUAGGAUUUUUGGUAUAGGGGUUUCUGGGGACAAGAUGGAGGGAUUUGGGCAUGUCUAGCUUUUCUUCUUCUUCUCUACCUCCAUCUUCACUGGUGAUGUUGGCACUUUUAGAUUGGUUUAGAGUAGAAACCCACUAUCUAAUAUAGAUGAUAGGUAUUGGAAAAUAACUGUAAAUAUUGUACACGUAGUCUGUAGUAUAUAAAGAUAAUACCGCCCUGGGGGUGGGGGGAGUGCCUCUGACUGUCCAGCUGAGCGGAUCUUGGCUGGGCAGGGAGAAAGAAUUUUAUAGAUAAGAUGCAAUAAACAACCUUGAGACUGAAAAAAUGAAGAGCCCUGACUCCUUCAAGCACCAGGCUGGGAAAAGAAACUUUCAAACUUUUCUCGGGGUCACUCUGAUCAGCUAGAGAGAGAGACCCCGACAACUGGGGUUCCCUGGGUGGGCUGGAAGAAAGACACGACAAUGCAGGGACACUCCCUGGCCAUGAACUGGAGAUAAUUAAUAAUUAUUGGCCCAUGAACAGCAGAGAUCUCCUGGAGGGAGAAUUGGUUGUGGAAGAGAUAAAACUGCCCAAUGAACAGAAGAGAACUGCCCUACCUCUGACAGGUGGGAAAUAGAGCACACAUAUUUUACAAUCCCAGACAGCAUCCAACCCCCAAACUGCUCUUCAUUCCUUCUCCCAGGCUCACUGGUGCUGGACAAACUUAAGAGUGUUCAGUCCCAGGGACAGUUUCCUCUGGCUUGUCCUGCACCAUGGAUUGCUGCUGCUUGUCUCAUCCACCUGCAAAUCCAGGCAUGAGCAAUGUGCAGCUCUCCUGUCAUAGUGUGGCACAACUCCCUUUCUUAUUGGUGUGACAUGGAGCAAUGCCAUGGCUGGCUCUCACAAUUACAGGGCAAAUAGCCUGUGUAUAUGUUAAGAAAUGUUUUGUAGAUUUAUACUUACAUUUUACUCCCUUGUUUUGUUAUCAGGGGUGCCCUGGGUUUGGGACAUUUGGGAGGGUUGGCUCCUUACCAUGGCAGCACCUGAGCUCCAGUCAGGAUUUGAGGAAGAGAUCUCCACCACUGGGCAGUGGAGGAGUCGAUGGACAGAGCUUUGGGAGGAUCUAAAGUGUUAAAAGGUGGAACCUCCAUGGUGUGGGUGAGUACAGGGUGGGAAAGAUCCUCUGCUCCUGGCACUGCAAUAUUUCCUCUAUUCAGUCUUCUGUUGUAUUUUUGAUAAGGUUUUAAUAAACCUUUUACAUGUU